AUCGCUUUAGUUUUACGCGACCCCCCGCUCCGUCCGUAAUUAAGAAAUCGAUUUCAUUCAUAUAAAAUUAAAUGAUGGCUAAAGUUGGGGCAAGAUUGUUUCCCAUGGCCAAACCCGAAUUUUGCUUAUAGGCGUUGCCUCCAAUUAAAACGUUAUCGCUUGUUAGACAUAAACGGAUAAGUUUAUCAAAAUCUUCAUCACUUAAACAGGAUAGUUCACAAUCACCUUUGUAUUGACUGAAGAAACGUUUGGCCACCGUAAAUACGCUGGGUGUUCUAUUAUUGAUGUCUUUAAGAGGUAUAGAACCGUAGCUCGUAGCUAAUUG